rfam:Stegodyphus mimosarum contig85878, whole genome shotgun sequence.
GCCUUCGUAGUGAAGUGGUCAGCACGCUCGGCGCGAAUUCGAGAGGUCCGUGGUUCGAAUCCAGGCGAAGGCA